GCCAGCGUGGUGUAACUGGAAGCACAGGUGACCUGUAAUCAUCAGGUCGGGGUUCAAGUCCCCGCGCUGGCU
rnacentral:tRNA from 1 species